rnacentral:sRNA from 1 species
GAAGUGCUCCCGGAUGAACUUGGCCGAGAGCAUCACCACGGCCACGCGGAGCGCAGGGAUGCUGGGGAAAGUAGGCGGGGCUAGGAACCCACCCACACCCUCUCCCUGGAAUCCCAGGGCCCACCUGGGUGAUGUUAUCCCAGAGACAGGGACAAGAGAUGAGAGGAUGGAAAUGUCUCUUUGGGAAAAAGGCUGCAGGAGCUGGAGGUGAUGAGCAGAGCAGGCGAAGGAAAGGGAGGCCCCCUCCUCCCUCCAUGUUAGAGAAGGGAGCCCUAGAUCUGGCCACCAGCGGCCUGUGCACACCUGGGGCUCAGGGCACACAGGGCUGCACCUACACACUCAAGGCCACUGUGAGAACAGGUGAGCAGGGCCAGAGGGCUGUGGAAAGCCCGGCUGAAGGCUGCACCUCCAGGCUGAAGAGAGCUUUACCAGCAUCCGCCAGGAAGCCUGGGCUCUGGGGCUGUGUCAUUGUAGAUGACCAUUUCCAGGUCGUGGCCACAGCCCCGGUUCUGGUCACAGCUGGGCCACCAAUCCUCCUGCACCACCCACCACUUAGCCACCGAGCCGUCUGCAGGGCAUUGGCUGGCCUCAGCUGCUGCAGCCAGCCAAUGGCGUUGCGGAAGGCUGGCCAGUCCACAUCCUGCAGCCUACGAGGAGGCCAGGUCUUUGUCAGCAAAGGUGGGAAACCAGGGGAGCGGCGGCACCAGGCCCCAGAGACAUUUGAAAUGACCUCAGAAGACCCAGGGCCACUCAGGGUGACCACAUUGGGGAGCUGCCUCUGACUGGCUGUGACGGAUGUUUAAGGAAGGGGUCGAUGGUCACCUGACUCUCAGGAGUGCAGGAGAGGCCACUGAGACCCAUUCAGAAGGGACUGGGUGUUGGUCCCUGUGGACUCGGCCUCUGGCUGGUGGUGAGGAGGAGGAUUUCUCACCACCCAUCCUCUGGCCCCUGCUGCCCAAGGGAGCAGACUCCUGUGAGCUGGGUUCCGGGAAGUCCGUCUCCAGCAGGAACUCCAGGCCAAGUGCACAUCUCUGUGAUCGUGUGUCACCAUGGCGGUGCGUGCGUGCAUGCGUGUGCACUGGUCUGUGGCCUGUGGUGCAUGAGUUCCACUAGGACCCAUGUGAGGUGGAGGGUCUUCCACGUCCCCUCCCAUUUGGGCCCUCCCUGUGCCACACAGACACCCAUCUGUGCCUUCCCCUUCUGUGCCACCAAAAACGGAAGAGAGACACUUAGAAGAAGCAACUCGAAUGGAAUGAAAUUGUUUCUAUCGGGGAAUGCUCAGACGUUCAAUCAUCUUAGAAAAUCCCACCCCAACUCCUGCUGCAGAUUAAUUACUCUAAGUGCAACUCCAGUCGGGCUGGUGACCCCCCAGGAAACCUCUGAAGCUGUCCCAGGCUGUUCCCAACACGGGACCUCCACUCUGGCACACCAGAACCCGAGGCCCCUGACAGGCUCCUCGUUCCUGCCUCGCUCAAGGCUCAGGUCCCCCACCUGAAAUGCCCCCUCCCACCAGCAUCUCCUGCCUCGCUCCUGCUGCCAGGUCCCCAAAAGCUCUUGUUCAUGAGCUCGCCUGCCAUCCACAGCCCCCACCAGAACCCAAGUGGCUGUGGAAUUCGCUGCCCUGAUUCUCUGCCCAGAGCCUCGGUCCAGACUGUGUUCCCUGGCGAAUUAGUGUUCAGCAUUUUUGUUUAUUUGUUUGUUCUUUAACAAAAGGUUGUUUUGGUUUGAGACUCAGCAAAAACACACACUGCAUUCAGCUUCCUCUCCGUUCAGGAUUCAGUAAAUUGAUUGUUUUCCCGUC